rnacentral:tRNA from 1 species
AAUGAUUUAUUUUAAUAAAAUAUUACUUUGCAAAAGUAAAGUUGCUAUAUUAGCAAUCAUUU